rnacentral:rRNA from 1 species
UACGUAGGGUGCGAGCGUUGUCCGGAAUUAUUGGGCGUAAAGAGCUCGUAGGCGGUCUGUCGCGUCGGUCGUGAAAACUUGGGGCUUAACCCUGAGCUUGCGGUCGAUACGGGCAUGACUGGAGUUCGGUAGGGGAGACUGGAAUUCCUGGUGUAGCGGUGAAAUGCGCAGAUAUCAGGAGGAACACCGGUGGCGAAGGCGGGUCUCUGGGCCGAUACUGACGCUGAGGAGCGAAAGCGUGGGGGAGCGAACAGG